UCUUGUCUUCCUCCAUGUCAAUGAUGUAAAAAUCAGCUGGGAAGACUAGUUGGUCCACUUGCACCAACACAUCUUCAAGCACUCCCUUGGGAUAGACAAUCGAUCGGUCAGCCAAUUGAAUUACAAUGCUGGUGCUUUUUAGUGAACCUGCAUUCAAUAAAUUAAAAAUAGAGAGGGGCAUGACAUUGAUUGAAGCUCCAAGGUCACACAUGGCUUUCUUUAUCCCCACGUUGCCUAUCUUGCAUGAAACAGCGAACAUCCCUCUAUCCUUGCAUUUGACUGGAAUUUUUCUUUGAAUAACAGUGAGACACACUCCCCCACACUCACCUUUUCACGUUCAGCAAGUUUCCUUCGGUUGGUGCAUAGCUCUUUGAGGAACUUAGCAUACCUUGGAAUUUGCUUUACAGCAUCAAGUAGGGGAAUGUUGAUUUCCACCUUGCGAAAGGUCUCAAGUAUUUCUUUCUCCUCUUUUUCUUUUUGAGACCUUGCAAAUCUUUUGGGGAAG
rnacentral:lncRNA from 1 species